rnacentral:tRNA from 1 species
GUCGGGAUAGCUCAGCUGGUAGAGCAGAGGCUGAAA